CGUAGGGUCCGAGCGUUAUCCGGAAUCAUUGGGCGUAAAGAGCUCGUAGGCGGUUCAGCAAGUCGGCUGUGAAAGUCCGGGGCUCAACCCCGGAAUUGCAGUCGAUACUGCUGUGACUCGAGUCCGGUAGAGGAGAAUGGAAUUCCCGGUGUAGCGGUGAAAUGCGCAGAUAUCGGGAGGAACACCAGUAGCGAAGGCGGUUCUCUGGGCCGGCACUGACGCUGAGGAGCGAAAGCGUGGGGAGCAAACAGGAUUAGAUACCCUGGUAGUCCACGCUGUAAACGUUGGAUACUAGGUGUGGCGGUCUUACCAACGACUGCCGUGCCGAAGCUAACGCAUUAAGUAUCCCGCCUGGGGAGUACGGCCGCAAGGCUA
rnacentral:rRNA from 1 species